rnacentral:sRNA from 1 species
UGCCAGCUGAAUGUAAAAGGGACAGAGACGCAUAAGUUACUACUCUUGAGGGUUUUAAUGAAUUUAU